GGCAGUGGUGUGAAGGAGGAAAGGAAGUGGGAGCGAGCAGCUGAAGCAGGAAGACCAAUAAAAAGACUGCUGAAAUGGUCUGUGUGAAGAUGCUGCGAGCUGGAAAGAGGUCAGAGCAGCCAGGCAGGAAGCAGAGGAAUGGUGGCAUACAAUUUCCAAGACUGGUACCUGAGUUGGAGAAGCAGGGGAGAAGUUCAGGAAGAACUGGAACAGAAGAGAAGGCCCAGAUGGAAAUCACUGGCAUCAGGAAGAACUGAAAUCCCCAGCUGAGAUAAAGCAGAAGACUUCCAGGCAGAAGAAAUCAGAAUCGGACCUACUAGUGCUGCCAUCUGUUCCUCUGCACUCUUAGAGUUUGUGGCUCCCAUCAGACCCGGGGAAUUGUCCAGCUGUGAGUUUCUGUUUUACUGGGAUUGAAUUCCAUCAAUGUCCCUGACUUCCAGGCUUUGACCAUCAUCCUAUGAUGGUUGCCUCUAUCAGACAUCUCUGUUCUUUGCUUUAUAAUAUGUAUUUAUUAACAAUAAUAAAGUUAAUUCAACUGAGUCUAACUAUGAUCA
ensembl:lncRNA